rnacentral:rRNA from 1 species
GAUGAACGCUGGCGGCGUGCCUAAUACAUGCAAGUCGAGCGAACGGACGAGAAGCUUGCUUCUCUGAUGUUAGCGGCGGACGGGUGAGUAACACGUGGAUAACCUACCUAUAAGACUGGGAUAACUUCGGGAAACCGGAGCUAAUACCGGAUAAUAUUUUGAACCGCAUGGUUCAAAAGUGAAAGACGGUCUUGCUGUCACUUAUAGAUGGAUCCGCGCUGCAUUAGCUAGUUGGUAAGGUAACGGCUUACCAAGGCAACGAUGCAUAGCCGACCUGAGAGGGUGAUCGGCCACACUGGAACUGAGACACGGUCCAGACUCCUACGGGAGGCAGCAGUAGGGAAUCUUCCGCAAUGGGCGAAAGCCUGACGGAGCAACGCCGCGUGAGUGAUGAAGGUCUUCGGAUCGUAAAACUCUGUUAUUAGGGAAGAACAUAUGUGUAAGUAACUGUGCACAUCUUGACGGUACCUAAUCAGAAAGCCACGGCUAACUACGUGCCAGCAGCCGCGGUAAUACGUAGGUGGCAAGCGUUAUCCGGAAUUAUUGGGCGUAAAGCGCGCGUAGGCGGUUUUUUAAGUCUGAUGUGAAAGCCCACGGCUCAACCGUGGAGGGUCAUUGGAAACUGGAAAACUUGAGUGCAGAAGAGGAAAGUGGAAUUCCAUGUGUAGCGGUGAAAUGCGCAGAGAUAUGGAGGAACACCAGUGGCGAAGGCGACUUUCUGGUCUGUAACUGACGCUGAUGUGCGAAAGCGUGGGGAUCAAACAGGAUUAGAUACCCUGGUAGUCCACGCCGUAAACGAUGAGUGCUAAGUGUUAGGGGGUUUCCGCCCCUUGGUGCUGCAGCUAACGCAUUAAGCACUCCGCCUGGGGAGUACGACCGCAAGGUUGAAACUCAAAGGAAUUGACGGGGACCCGCACAAGCGGUGGAGCAUGUGGUUUAAUUCGAAGCAACGCGAAGAACCUUACCAAAUCUUGACAUCCUUUGACAACUCUAGAGAUAGAGCCUUCCCCUUCGGGGGACAAAGUGACAGGUGGUGCAUGGUUGUCGUCAGCUCGUGUCGUGAGAUGUUGGGUUAAGUCCCGCAACGAGCGCAACCCUUAAGCUUAGUUGCCAUCAUUAAGUUGGGCACUCUAAGUUGACUGCCGGUGACAAACCGGAGGAAGGUGGGGAUGACGUCAAAUCAUCAUGCCCCUUAUGAUUUGGGCUACACACGUGCUACAAUGGACAAUACAAAGGGCAGCGAAACCGCGAGGUCAAGCAAAUCCCAUAAAGUUGUUCUCAGUUCGGAUUGUAGUCUGCAACUCGACUACAUGAAGCUGGAAUCGCUAGUAAUCGUAGAUCAGCAUGCUACGGUGAAUACGUUCCCGGGUCU